rnacentral:rRNA from 1 species
UGGGGAAUUUUGGACAAUGGGGGAAACCCUGAUCCAGCCAUCCCGCGUGUGCGAUGAAGGCCUUCGGGUUGUAAAGCACUUUUGGCAGGAAAGAAACGUCAUGGGUUAAUACCCCGUGAAACUGACGGUACCUGCAGAAUAAGCUCCGGCUAACUACGUGCCAGCAGCCGCGGUAAUACGUAGGGUGCAAGCGUUAAUCGGAACUACUGGGCGUAAAGCGUGCGCAGGCGGUUCGGAAAGAAAGAUGUGAAAUCCCAGAGCACAACUUUGGAAAUGCAUUUUUAACUACCGGGCUAGAGUGUGUCAGAGGGAGGUGGAAUUCCGCGUGUAGCAGUGAAAUGCGUAGAUAUGCGGAGGAACACCGAUGGCGAAGGGAGCCUCCUGGGAUAACACUGAAGCUCAUGCACGAAAGCGUGGGGAGCAAACAGG